UUCUUACAACGCUACAGUGCUGAACAAAUAAACAAAGUGACUUUUUCUUUUGCAAAGUCAGAAAAAAAAAAGCUGCAAAGGAGUGUAUCCAUGGUGUGUCAGAGGAAUCCACUUGGGAAUAGCACUGGCCUCCACAGAAGCUUUAUGGGAUCUGCAGCUGGAUGUUCUGAGGACAGCAUCUAGAUGGAAAAUCCAGGAUUGGAGAGCAAGCAGAGGAUCCUAACUAAGUGAUGUGCAAAGGGGAAAUCUCUCCUGUUGUAGCUUCACUGUGGGGGAGGAGGGAAGGAGAAACCAUCCAGAUGCUCAGGGCAGGCCUGUGCUUGAAGGAGAACUGAUUCACCAGAAUCCUCUGCUCCCAUGGCCCUGCUUCGCAAGCAGCCGUGCCUUGUGGGCUGUCCCACAUUCAGGAAUUCAGAUUAGGAAGAGGUAAAUGAAGGUUAAACAGGUGGAGCAGCUGUCUGGACUCUCUCCAGGCGGUUCUUAUCUCCAGGAAAUGUGUUGAGCAAUACAGGAUCCUGCAUUCUGGAUGAGACCUCCUGGAUACAAACCAAAAAUACCUUGUAGAGCACCGCCUUUUCCAGCUGAAAGUUGAGCUGUUCUGCUCAGAAAUGAUACAA